rnacentral:rRNA from 1 species
AACGAACGCUGGCGGCGUGCCUAACACAUGCAAGUCGAACGAGAAAGCCUGGCUUGCCAGGCGAGUAAAGUGGCGCACGGGUGAGUAACGCGUGGGUAAUCUACCUUUGUCUGGGGGAUAACAUACCGAAAGGUGUGCUAAUACCGCAUAACGUGAUCGAGUUGCGAUUUGAUCACCAAAGAAGGCCUCUCCUUGGAAGCUUUCGGGUAAAGAUGAGCCCGCGUCCCAUUAGCUUGUUGGUAAGGUAAAAGCUUACCAAGGCGACGAUGGGUAGCUGGUCUGAGAGGAUGGCCAGCCACACUGGAACUGGAACACGGUCCAGACUCCUACGGGAGGCAGCAGUGAGGUAUCUUGCGCAAUGGGGGCAACCCUGACGCAGCAACGCCGCGUGAGUGAAGAAGGCCUUCGGGUCGUAAAGCUCUGUCAAGUGGGAAGAAUAGCCUGAAGACGAAUAAUCUUGAGGUAUGACGGUACCACUGGAGGAAGCACCGGCUAACUCCGUGCCAGCAGCCGCCGUAACAC